UACGGAGGGUGCAAGCGUUAUCCGGAUUCACUGGGUUUAAAGGGUGCGUAGGCGGGCAGGUAAGUCAGUGGUGAAAUCUCCGGGCUUAACCCGGAAACUGCCGUUGAUACUAUCUGUCUUGAAUAUCGUGGAGGUAAGCGGAAUAUGUCAUGUAGCGGUGAAAUGCUUAGAUAUGACAUAGAACACCCAUUGCGAAGGCAGCUUACUACACGAUCAUUGACGCUCAUGCACGAAAGCGUGGGGAGCAAACAGG
rnacentral:rRNA from 1 species